AGCCCUGUGCCAGGAACCGCCCUGACCUGCCCCACAGUGGCUCCUUGGCUCAGGGUUGCUGGGCCGCUUCCAUUCACUCAUUCACCAAAAUGUGGUUGAGCACUUACUCUGUGCCAGGCCUUGGGCUGGGCGCUGGGGUCACAGAGAUGAGGACAGCCCCUCCCCGCCCUGGAAAAGGUCGUAAGCCAGCAGGGGCGCUGGACCCGUAAAUAGACCAUUCAUACUAGAAAAGCAAGUGAUGGAUUAUCCAUCAGGCACUUACUCCACGAAUGAGCGUCCACUCUGUGCCAAGCACUGUUCCAGGCUCUGGGGACGUGGCAGAGAACAAGACGGAAAAUGUCUCUUGCCUGGUGGGGCGUACCCAGCGACGUGGCCACGGCACUGAGAGCGUGAAGGAGCAGGGAACAAAUACCUGCCAAGCCUAGCAAGAACGAGGGACAAGUGGGAGCAAGCGUGAAGGCGGGGGCCGCCCAGCCUGAGGUGGAGAGGGGAGUCCUCAGCCAGGGACCUGCGAGGGCUGGGGCGCGACUGUGGUUGGGUUUUCCUCUCUCACCUGCUUAGGCGACCCAGAUGGAGUCUGUUCCCUUCUGGGGCCCUUGGAUUCUACCUUGCUAAAGUGGAAGGCUCUGGACUAGGGUCGCCACCGUCCUGGCUCUGCUGGGCGGCCCCCGCCUAACAACUAAGAGCAUCCCUUUGCUCUCAGAAGUUUCCAGGUUUGCACCAUACCUUAUGUGGUUGGGUUACUCUUGCUCAACUUCCUGGCCACGUGCGGAGAACUGUGACUCUCACCAGCCCCACUGAGGGCUAUCUGGGCUCUCUGGCUUGGAGGGGCACUAGUCCUGGGGCAGGUGACAAGUAUGCUGUCCAGGCUCAUUUCCCUUCGCACCAGGGUCCUGCUUCUCUUGACCAAGCCUGCAGCCUCAAUGCAGCCUUCCCACCUGAGGUUGCCAGGUCCCAGGAGGGAAGUGCAGGAGCAGGACAAUAGGCAGGAGGCUUCCUCUAAGAAAAGUGAUCCCAGACAGGGAGCUGCCCUGCUCCAUACAUAACACUUCACCCCCAGGUCACCUGCCAUCUGCCCUCAGGUCUGGACUGUGCAGAGGGUUGUCCCUGCUGCACAGAGCCCAUUAGCAGUUGGAGGUCAGCAUAGGAGUGCUGCCUUAGGGACACAGAGUACUUCCAGCUACAGCCUCAGGGACCCCAGCACCCCAUUGUUGGGCUCCAUGGCUCUCCGGGAUGUAUGGGAUAGGCC
rnacentral:lncRNA from 1 species